AUUCCAGGCUGUGGAUCCGGUCGUGGGAAGCAGGUAGGAAACCAUGAUUCUCGGGGUUAAAUGAAGAAAUAUAUUUAGUGCUCACAGAAAUUUAGAAAUUUAGAAAGCCAAAUAUUGGGUUAGCCGCCAGGAAUGGAGAGGGAAAAAACCCAAAGCAAACAGCAGAGGAAAGAAAUUCCUACCAGACAAGGUCCUUAUUCAUUCUCCCAACCCCAGGUGCAGGGGCCUGCAGGGGAGAGACCCGCUGAACUUAAGACUCUGAUCAAACCCCAGACUCGGACCCUGCGCUGCCCAUGGGGCCGACCGUCAAUAUCUGGAUUGGCAAUGGCACCCUAGAGCUCACUAAGUUGACCCUAAAGCCCUUUGGGAGCCAAGGGUGGGGGUGGGGAAGGAAUAACAAAGUAGAAAGUUCCUGGAUUGAGGUGGAAAAAUCAGUUUAACCUCCCUGGGCCUCAUCUACGGAAUGUAAGGGUUGGAUUAUGAUUUCACAGGUCAUAGCAUCCUACUAUUGUUUCUGCCUAAAAUAAGCAGCAAUAAGAAUGAGUGUGAGGAAGACCACAGCAGCAGGACCCACCUGUUUCUGAGGCCUAGGGAGAUGCAGUGAUAGAUUUCAGCUUAUUCCUCAUUCUCAGGUUUCUGUACCUUGACCCUCCAUAGAGUGAACUUCUAGGUUCUGAGCUGACUCCUUGGAAACCCUAGACUCCAGGGACGCGCUUCUAGAACCUGCUCAGAUUGCUACUCAGUUAACAGCCUGGCCCAGGAGGAUUGCAACACCCAGCCUGGCUCCCAGGCAAGCUAAAGAGGGCUUGAUGAUGGGAAGAGGUUAAGGGGUACGUGGAGAGAAAGAAGGAUCAGAAGGCGGAAACAUCAUAGACCUCCUGGGAUGCCUUCUGCAGGAUCACAGAGAAGGCAAAAUUUGUCCUCCUGACUACAAGAUGCCAAGAUACAUUUGUAUCGAGCCACUGAAUUCUCUACCCCUUCUGUAGAGGUGGUUGGGGAAGAGCUGCAGUAGGAAGCUGGGUCCCAAGUAAUGAAGGACCUUUAGAAGCAGAAGGUGUUAGGGUGGGGGCAAAGGACUGAACUCUGACCAACCAGAAGAAAGGAAAAACUGGAGUUCCUUUCCCCUAGGUCUGCCUUUCUUUCUCAGGGUCUCUAUUUACUUCUCAUGCACUUGACUCUCUGCUUCCCUCUCCCUCAUUUCCACAAAGGGGCCCAAGCUUCACAUGCAUCUCGCACCCCCGCACCUUGUGGGCAGGAAAUCUGAGCACAGGCAUUUCCUGUACGCUGAUAAAUGCCCACUGCAAAGAGCCCCAGCCUGAAGGUGGCCCUGUCUCCUAGUUAUGUCCCUCCACAUCCUUAUCUCCCCAGGCUCCAGCCCUCACCAGCAGGGACUCAACAAACGCCAUCUGUCAGAUGAGUCAUGGGACCAGAAGCUUGGGAGAAGACAUGCAGAGCCAACCACUAACAAAACUGGCAAAUGAAAUAAAUGCCCAGAAACCUGCUCCAUCCCCAGCAUUCCUUAAGUCCUAUAAAUUGCACCACCUUUUACCAGUUUUCAGAAACUAAAAGUCAUCCUUGACAUCCGUCCAAUCAAUCACCUCCUAUUUAUCUCCCAAAUUCAUUCUUUUUUCUUUUUGAAACAGAGUUUUUACUCUUGUUGCCCAGGCUGAAGUGCAAUGGCACGAUCUCAGCUCCCUGCAACCUCCGCCUCCCAGGUUCAAGCCAUUCUCCUGCCUCAGCUUUCCUGAGUAGCUGGGAUUACAGGCAUGCGCCACUACGCCUGGCUAAUGUUGUAUUUUUAGUAGAGAUGGGGUUUCUCCAUGUUGGUCAGGCUGGUCUUGAAUUCCCAACCUGAGGUGAUCCACCCACCUUGGCCUCCCAAAGUGCUGGGACUACAGGUGUGAGCCAUUACACCCGGCAAAUUCAUUUUUAUAAUCUUGCCACCCCCACAACCACUGCCCUCAUGGACCCUGGGCACGCCUCACCCGAAUUACAGAAAUUCCCUCCCAGCUGGUAAAACUGUUUGUGUGUGGCUCUCCUUCAUUCCAUCCUCCCUGGUUUAGCCAGAGAAAUAAUUCUAAAAUGUACACAUCCCAAAGCAUCUCAUUUUCCUGCAUGCAGUCUUUCAUCAUCCAUUCACUAACUGGAGGACAACAUCUGAAUUUAUUAGUGAGCAUACAAAGGCUUUUCAUCCGCUGAACCCAGCGCAUCUGCUACCAUUUCCCUGGUCUCCGGUCAGAACUAGUGACUGUCCCAUAAACAGGUUCUGCUGGACUUCCAGUCAAGAUGGAGCGGGCCGCACACAUACAGAGCUGAACUUGUAUCGCCGUGUAGAUGAAGACAAACACCUUUAGGAGAUGGCAGAGAAACAAAAUGGGAAACCCUCAGGUCUCCAAAUGACUACACCAAGCAGAAUUGCCCCACCAGCCUGCACCAUUCAUUUCUAGACUAUGAGCAAGAAGUACACUUCCAUCUUAUUUAAACAACCAUAUUUGGGGUUUUUGUUGUUGUUAUUGUUGUUGUUAUAGGAGCUUAGCUUUUACUCUAAGAAAUACAGCUACUCAACUCACUUCAUUAGGAUCUUAACUAUAAUAUCAAAACCUCCUAAGCACAGAAUAAAAAAUACAGUAGAGCAA